UUCUUGGAGAGUUUGAUCCUGGCUCAGGACGAACGCUGGCGGCGUGCCUAAUACAUGCAAGUCGAGCGAGACUCUUCGGAGUCUAGCGGCGGACGGGUGAGUAACACGUGGGCAACCUGCCUGUAAGACUGGGAUAACACCGGGAAACCGGUGCUAAUACCGGAUAAUCCUUUUCCUCUCAUGAGGAAAAGCUGAAAGUCGGUUUCGGCUGACACUUACAGAUGGGCCCGCGGCGCAUUAGCUAGUUGGUGAGGUAACGGCUCACCAAGGCGACGAUGCG
rnacentral:rRNA from 1 species